rnacentral:rRNA from 1 species
AGCCGAAUUAAGGUGAAACCGCGAAAGGCUCAUUAAAUCAGUUAUGGUUCCUUAGAUCGUACCCACAUUUACUUGGAUAACUGUGGUAAUUCUAGAGCUAAUACAUGCAAACAGAGCUCCGACCGGAGACGGAAGGAGCGCUUUUAUUAGAUCAAAACCAAUCGGCGGCGGGCCUUCGCGGGCUCGUCGUCGUACCUACUGGUGAAUCUGAAUAACUUUGCUGAUCGCACGGUCUCGCACCGGCGACGCAUCUUUCAAAUGUCUGCCUUAUCAACUGUCGAUGGUAGGUUCUGCGCCUACCAUGGUUGUAACGGGUAACGGGGAAUCAGGGUUCGAUUCCGGAGAGGGAGCCUGAGAAACGGCUACCACAUCCAAGGAAGGCAGCAGGCGCGCAAAUUACCCACUCCCGGCACGGGGAGGUAGUGACGAAAAAUAACGAUACGGGACUCAUCCGAGGCCCCGUAAUCGGAAUGAGUACAAUCUAAACCCUUUAACGAGGAUCAAUUGGAGGGCAAGUCUGGUGCCAGCAGCCGCGGUAAUUCCAGCUCCAAUAGCGUAUAUUAAAGUUGUUGCGGUUAAAAAGCUCGUAGUCGAAUCUGUGUCCCGCGCCGCCGGUUCAUCGCACGCGGUGUUUAACUGGCGUGACGCGGGACGUCCUGCCGGUGGGCUCGCGUCGGUCGGCGUUCGCUCUCGGGCGCUCGUCGGUCGCUCGUAGGCCCAACUCAAUCCCACCGCGGUGCUCUUCACUGAGUGUCGAGGUGGGCCGGCACGUUUACUUUGAACAAAUUAGAGUGCUUAAAGCAGGCUAAAACUUCGCCUGAAUACCGUGUGCAUGGAAUAAUGGAAUAGGACCUCGGUUCUAUUUUGUUGGUUUUCGGAACCCCGAGGUAAUGAUUAAUAGGAACGGAUGGGGGCAUUCGUAUUGCGACGUUAGAGGUGAAAUUCUUGGAUCGUCGCAAGACGGACAGAAGCGAAAGCAUUGCCAAAAACGCUUUCAUUGAUCAAGAACGAAAGUUAGAGGUUCGAAGGCGAUCAGAUACCGCCCUAGUUCUAACCAUAAACGAUGCCAGCUAGCGAUCCGCCGACGUUCCUUAGAUGACUCGGCGGGCAGCUUCCGGGAAACCAAAGCUUUUGGGUUCCGGGGGAAGUAUGGUUGCAAAGCUGAAACUUAAAGGAAUUGACGGAAGGGCACCACCAGGAGUGGAGCCUGCGGCUUAAUUUGACUCAACACGGGAAACCUCACCAGGCCCGGACACCGGAAGGAUUGACAGAUUGAGAGCUCUUUCUUGAUUCGGUGGGUGGUGGUGCAUGGCCGUUCUUAGUUGGUGGAGCGAUUUGUCUGGUUAAUUCCGAUAACGAACGAGACUCUAGCCUGCUAAAUAGGCGUAUUUCCGGCAUCUCAAAGGCCCGCCGGCCCGGCGUUCGCGUCGCGGUCGCGCGCGGUUUUUACUGCCGGCGUACACACAAUUCUUCUUAGAGGGACAGGCGGCUUCUAGCCGCACGAGAUUGAGCAAUAACAGGUCUGUGAUGCCCUUAGAUGUUCUGGGCCGCACGCGCGCUACACUGAAGGAAUCAGCGUGUCCUCCCUGGCCGAGAGGCCCGGGUAACCCGCUGAACCUCCUUCGUGCUAGGGAUUGGGGCUUGCAAUUGUUCCCCAUGAACGAGGAAUUCCCAGUAAGCGCGAGUCAUAAGCUCGCGUUGAUUACGUCCCUGCCCUUUGUACACACCGCCCGUCGCUACUACCGAUUGAAUGAUUUAGUGAGGUCUUCGGACCGGUACGCGGCGGCGUUCCACGUC